AUUGAACGCUGGCGGAAUGCUUUACACAUGCAAGUCGAGCGGCAGCGCGGGGGCAACCCUGGCGGCGAGCGGCGAACGGGUGAGUAACAUAUCGGAACGUACCCAGUCGUGGGGGAUAACUAUCCGAAAGGAUAGCUAAUACCGCAUACGUCCUGAGGGAGAAAGCGGGGGAUCGCAAGACCUCGCGCGAUUGGAGCGGCCGAUAUCGGAUUAGCUAGUUGGUGGGGUAAAGGCUCACCAAGGCGACGAUCCGUAGCGGGUCUGAGAGGACGACCCGCCACACUGGAACUGAGACACGGUCCAGACUCCUACGGGAGGCAGCAGUGGGGAAUAUUGGACAAUGGGGGCAACCCUGAUCCAGCCAUGCCGCGUGUGUGAAGAAGGCCUU
rnacentral:rRNA from 1 species